rnacentral:rRNA from 1 species
AGAGUUUGAUCCUGGCUCAGGAUGAACGCUAGCGGCAGGCCUAACACAUGCAAGUCGAGGGGCAGCGGGAGUGCUUGCACUCGCCGGCGACCGGCGCACGGGUGCGGAACGCGUAUCGAAUCUGCCUCUAUCUGGGGGAUACCCCAUGGAAACGUGGAAUAAUACCCCAUAGUAUUACUUUAUCGCAUGAUUUAGUAAUUAAAGAAUUUCGGAUAGAGAUGACGAUGCGUAUCAUUAGCUAGUAGGUAAGGUAACGGCUUACCUAGGCAACGAUGAUUAGGGGUCCUGAGAGGGAGAUCCCCCACACUGGUACUGAGACACGGACCAGACUCCUACGGGAGGCAGCAGUGAGGAAUAUUGGACAAUGGUCGAAAGACUGAUCCAGCCAUGCCGCGUACAGGAUGACUGCCCUAUGGGUUGUAAACUGCUUUUAUACGGGAAGAAAAACACCUACGUGUAGGUGACUGACGGUACCGUAAGAAUAAGGACCGGCUAACUCCGUGCCAGCAGCCGCGGUAAUACGGAGGGUCCAAGCGUUAUCCGGAAUCAUUGGGUUUAAAGGGUCCGUAGGCGGGCUAUUAAGUCAGAGGUGAAAGUUUGCAGCUCAACUGUAAAAUUGCCUUUGAUACUGAUAGUCUUGAAUUGUAGUGAAGUGGUUAGAAUAUGUGGUGUAGCGGUGAAAUGCAUAGAUAUCACAUAGAAUACCGAUUGCGAAGGCAGAUCUCUCACUAGAUAUUGACGCUGAGGGACGAAAGCGUGGGGAGCAAACGGGAUUAGAUACCCCGGUAGUUCACACUGUAAACGAUGGAUAUUAGCUGUUGUAUUUCUUCAGUGGCUAAGCGAAAGUGAUAAGUAUCUCACCUGGGGAGUACGUUCGCAAGAAUGACACUCAAAGGAAUUGACGGGGGGCCGCUCAAGCGGUGGAGUAUGUGGUUUAAUUUGAUGCAACGCGAAGAACCUUUCCAGGGUUUUAAUCGGAAUUCCCUUGAACGAGGGACGUGCCUUUCGGCGGAGCGCAGUGACAGGUGGCGCAUGUCUGUUGUCAGCUCGUGUCGUGAGAUGUUGGGUCAAGUCCCCGAACGAGCGCAACUCCGUCCGUUAGUUGCCAGCGAUUCAUGUUGGGCACUCUACCGAGACCGCCGGUGAAAACCAUGAGGAAGGUGUGGAUGACGUCUAGUCAUCAUGCCCCUUACAUCCUGGGCUACACACGUACUUCAAUGCUACGGACAAAGGGCAGCAAACUCGCGAGAGCUAGCAAAUCCAUAAACCGUGGCUCAGUUCAGAUCGUAGGCUGCAACUCGCCUACGUGAAGGAGGAAUCGCUAGUAAUCGCAGGUCAGCCAUACUGCGGUGAAUACGUUCCCGGGCCUUGUACACACCGCCCGUCACACCAUGGAAGUUGGCCACGCCCGAAGCCGUUACUCCAACCCUUGUGGAGGAGGAUGUCGAAGGUGGGGCUGAUGACUGGGGUGAAGUCGUAACAAGGUAGCCGUA